GACGAACGCUGGCGGCGUGCCUAAUACAUGCAAGUCGUGCGGACCUUGUUGAAAGCUUGCUUUUAAAAGGUUAGCGGCGGACGGGUGAGUAACACGUGGGCAACCUGCCUGUAAGACUGGGAUAACGCCGGGAAACCGGGGCUAAUACCAGAUCGUUUUUUCCUCCGCAUGGAGGAAAAAGGAAAGGCGGCUUCGGCUGCCACUUACAGAUUGGCCCGCGGCGCAUUAGCUAGUUGGCGGGGUAAUGGCCCACCAAGGCAACGAUGCGUAGCCGACCUGAGAGGGUGAUCGGCCACAUUGGGACUGAGACACGGCCCAAACUCCUACGGGAGGCAGCAGUAGGGAAUCUUCCGCAAUGGACGAAAGUCUGACGGAGCAACGCCGCGUGAGUGAAGAAGGCCUUCGGGUCGUAAAACUCUGUUGCCGGGGAAGAACAAGUGCCGUUCGAACAGGGCGGCGCCUUGACGGUACCCGGCCAGAAAGCCACGGCUAACUACGUG
rnacentral:rRNA from 1 species